rnacentral:misc_RNA from 1 species
GUGGGAGCUGGCUUGCCUGCGAUGGCGUUUUCUCAGUCAGCAUCUUCUGUAACUGAUACACCGAUAUCGCAGGCAAGCCGGCUCCCAC